GAGUAAUUAGUCCAAUUAAGACUGCUAAUUUCGACUUAGCAAAUUAUGGUGUAACCCCAUGAUUACCCU
rnacentral:tRNA from 1 species